AGCUGGCGGAUGCUUAACAUGCAAGUCGAACGGUAGAGUAGCAUAUUGAGAGUGGGAACGGGUGAGUAAUAUAUCGGAACGUGCCCAGUCGUGGGGGAUAAGGUAGAGAAAUUUACGCUAAUACCUGCAUACGAUCUACGGAUGAAAGCGGGGGAUUCGCAAGAACCUCGCGCGAUUGGAGCGGCUGAUAUCAGAUUAGGUUGUUGGUGAGGUAAAAGCUCACCAUGCCGACGAUCUGUAGCUGGUUUGAGAGAACGACGAGCCACACUGGGACUGAGACACGGCCCAGACUCCUACUGGAGGCAGCAGUGGGGAAUUUUGGACAAUGGGCGAAAGCCUGAUCCAGCAAUGCCGCGUGUGGGAAGAAGGCCUUCGGGUUGUAAACCACUUUUGUACGGAACGAAACGGUUCGCUUUAAUACAGUGGGCUAAUGACGGUACCGUAAGAAUAAGCACCGGCUAACUACGUGCCAGUAGCCGCGGUAAUACGUAGGGUGCGAGCGUUAAUCGGAAUUACUGGGCGUAAAGCGUGCGCAUGCGGUUAUAUAAGACAGUUGUGAAAUCCCCGGGCUCAAGCUGGGAAUUGCAUCUGUGACUGUAUAGCUAGAGUACGGUAGAGGGGGAUGGAAUUCCGCGUG
rnacentral:rRNA from 1 species